AGAGUUUGAUCCUGGCUCAGGAUGAACGCUGGCGGCGUGCCUAAUACAUGCAAGUCGAGCGAACGGACGAGAAGCUUGCUUCUCUGAUGUUAGCGGCGGACGGGUGAGUAACACGUGGAUAACCUACCUAUAAGACUGGGAUAACUUCGGGAAACCGGAGCUAAUACCGGAUAAUAUUUUGAACCGCAUGGUUCAAAAGUGAAAGACGGUCUUGCUGUCACUUAUAGAUGGAUCCGCGCUGCAUUAGCUAGUUGGUAAGGUAACGGCUUACCAAGGCAACGAUGCAUAGCCGACCUGAGAGGGUGAUCGGCCACACUGGAACUGAGACACGGUCCAGACUCCUACGGGAGGCAGCAGUAGGGAAUCUUCCGCAAUGGGCGAAAGCCUGACGGAGCAACGCCGCGUGAGUGAUGAAGGUCUUCGGAUCGUAAAACUCUGUUAUUAGGGAAGAACAUAUGUGUAAGUAACUGUGCACAUCUUGACGGUACCUAAUCAGAAAGCCACGGCUAACUACGUGCCAGCAGCCGCGGUAAUACGUAGGUGGCAAGCGUUAUCCGGAAUUAUUGGGCGUAAAGCGCGCGUAGGCGGUUUUUUAAGUCUGAUGUGAAAGCCCACGGCUCAACCGUGGAGGGUCAUUGGAAACUGGAAAACUUGAGUGCAGAAGAGGAAAGUGGAAUUCCAUGUGUAGCGGUGAAAUGCGCAGAGAUAUGGAGGAACACCAGUGGCGAAGGCGACUUUCUGGUCUGUAACUGACGCUGAUGUGCGAAAGCGUGGGGAUCAAACAGGAUUAGAUACCCUGGUAGUCCACGCCGUAAACGAUGAGUGCUAAGUGUUAGGGGGUUUCCGCCCCUUAGUGCUGCAGCUAACGCAUUAAGCACUCCGCCUGGGGAGUACGACCGCAAGGUUGAAAAGAGAUAGAGCCUUCCCCUUCGGGGGACAAAGUGACAGGUGGUGCAUGGUUGUCGUCAGCUCGUGUCGUGAGAUGUUGGGUUAAGUCCCGCAACGAGCGCAACCCUUAAGCUUAGUUGCCAUCAUUAAGUUGGGCACUCUAAGUUGACUGCCGGUGACAAACCGGAGGAAGGUGGGGAUGACGUCAAAUCAUCAUGCCCCUUAUGAUUUGGGCUACACACGUGCUACAAUGGACAAUACAAAGGGCAGCGAAACCGCGAGGUCAAGCAAAUCCCAUAAAGUUGUUCUCAGUUCGGAUUGUAGUCUGCAACUCGACUACAUGAAGCUGGAAUCGCUAGUAAUCGUAGAUCAGCAUGCUACGGUGAAUACGUUCCCGGGUCUUGUACACACCGCCCGUCACACCACGAGAGUUUGUAACACCCGAAGGUGGGACAAAUGAUUGGGGUGAAGUCGUAACAAGGUAGCCGUAUCGGAAGGUGCGGCUG
rnacentral:rRNA from 1 species